AUCCAUCCCCUCUGUGCUGCUUUGGCUAAUAAGGAAGUAUUAGCCUGAGCAGAAAUGGGCAGCUGUGAUUGGCUGAGAGUGUCAGCUGACUGCUUUUAGCCUGUCAGAGUUCCAACUGACGGUAUGAGUGGGUAUGACAACAAGGAAGUGUGUAAUCUCUGCCUUAGCUACACAUACUGAAGGGGCCGGACUGUGGGUGGCCAGGGACUCUUAUUUUGUGGCAUACUGCACGAACAUGGUGCAACACUGAAUGGAGGGACAGUGUCAGGGUACUCCAGGCACUAUAACCAAUUCAAAGAGAUGAAAUGCUUAUAGUGACUACAG
rnacentral:lncRNA from 1 species